rnacentral:rRNA from 1 species
UACGUAGGAUGCGAGCGUUUGUUCGGAUUUAUUGGGCGUAAAGCGUGCGUAGGCGGUUACAAAAGUCUGGUGUUAAAGCUAGGGGCUCAACCCCUGUGAUGCACUGGAAACUAUGUGACUUGAGUGCGGUAGGGGAAGGUGGAAUUCCGAGUGUAGCGGUGAAAUGACGUAGAUAUCGGAAGAACACCGGUGGCGAAGGCGGCAUCCUGGACCAACACUGACACUGAGGAGCGAAAGCCAGGGGAGCAACGGG